rnacentral:rRNA from 1 species
UACGAAGGGGGCUAGCGUUGUUCGGAGUUACUGGGCGUAAAGGGCGCGUAGGCGGCGCAUCAAGUCAGGCGUGAAAGCCCUGGGCUCAACCCGGGAAUUGCGCUUGAGACUGGUGUGCUCGAGUACGGGAGAGGAUAGUGGAAUUCCCAGUGUAGAGGUGAAAUUCGUAGAUAUUGGGAAGAACACCGGUGGCGAAGGCGGCGACCUGGUCCUUGACUGACGCUGAGGCGCGAAAGCGUGGGGAGCAAACAGG